AUGUGAAUCACUUGGGGAUCUGAUAAGUAUGUAGAUUCUGAUUCAACAGGUCUGGGAUGGGGGCCUGAGGUUCUGCAUUUCUAACCAGCUCCCAGGUGAUGCUAAC
rnacentral:pre_miRNA from 1 species